UAUGUAAAAUAUAUAUGUACAUAUGUAUAUAGAUAUAACAAUUAACAAGUGAAUUGAGAUAACCUGAUAUAUUAUCCAAAUAUCAAUCCUUAUAUCAGACUUGCAUGAUCAAGGAGAACAAUAGCAAAAUUAAUGGUCAAACGUACAAAAUUGUCUGAUUGAAAUUCAUCAAUAAAUUAAUCUAUUUAUUUAAAAAUAAAAAAAAGAAAGGAUCAAUUGAGAAUUCAAUUAAAAUGAGGCCAAAAAGAAAAUGUGUUGCACGAAACCAACAACUCUCUGAUGAUGGUGACAAUAAUAAAAAAAUGCCAAAAAGAAGAUAUGUUGUGAAAGACCAACAAUUCUCUGAUGAUGGUGACAAGAAUAAAAAAAAAGUUGUCAUCAAUUCACUGAAUAACGACUCAUUAGCAAAAAUCUUUAUGCUGUUGCCAAUACCAGAAAGGGUCGAAAUGGAAAGAGUUUGUACCAAAUGGAAAGAGGCAUGUCAACUGGCUUGGUAUGACAUUA